GACGAACGCUGGCGGCGUGCUUAACACAUGCAAGUCGAACGGAAAGGCCCUGCUUUUGUGGGGUGCUCGAGUGGCGAACGGGUGAGUAACACGUGAGUAACCUGCCCUUGACUUUGGGAUAACUUCAGGAAACUGGGGCUAAUACCGGAUAGGAGCUCCUGCUGCAUGGUGGGGGUUGGAAAGUUUCGGCGGUUGGGGAUGGACUCGCGGCUUAUCAGCUUGUUGGUGGGGUAGUGGCUUACCAAGGCUUUGACGGGUAGCCGGCCUGAGAGGGUGACCGGCCACAUUGGGACUGAGAUACGGCCCAGACUCCUACGGUAGGCAGCAGUGGGGAAGAUUGCACAAUGGGCGGAAGCCUGAUGCAGCAACGCCGCGUGCGGUAUGACGGCCUUCGGGUUGUAUACCGCUUUCGCCUGUGACGAAGCGUGAGUGACGGUAAUGGGUAAAGAAGCACCGGCUAACUACGUG
rnacentral:rRNA from 1 species